CUGUAGUCUGACACUUGAGACAUGAGAGGUGUAGAAUAAGUGGGAGGCUUUGGUCGCCGGUGAAAUUCCACUACUCUUAUCGUUUUUUCACUUACCCGAUGAGGUGGGGAGGCAAGCCCCAUGCUGAAAUAAAAUUUAGCAUUACCAGCAUAACUGGGUUAUUUUUGUUUAUAACGUGAUCUAAUUUCACAUUUAGCUAGAAAAAAAACUGUCAAAUGAAAAG
rnacentral:ncRNA from 1 species